AAAAACGCCGACUCAUCAGCUGCAGCAGCAACGUUACCUGCACUUACAGCUGCCGUCACAUCUGUCUGAUGAAUUAAUGAUGAAUCCCAACAGCACGGAGAGACACGCUGCUGCAUGGAGCUGCGGCUUGUUUUUCUUCUCCUACCUGGGAAGAAUCCUCCUCCAAACUGCCGAGCUUCCUCCUCCUGUUGAGACAGAAGACUGAGGUGAGUUCAUCACUGCUUUCAGUAGGUUUUUUUCUGAUGUUCAGGCUGCAGAUACAGAAAAGCACUCAGCCAUUACUGCUUUAAACAGCCUGGGCACUCUGUGAGAGACUUGUGCUGUGUUUAUUGUGAUACUCUUGUGUGUUUAUAUCCCGUCUUUGCUGUUCUGAGUGUUAAUAUGUAAAAACUGAAAAAAUCCUCUAU